rnacentral:rRNA from 1 species
UAAUACGAGAGGGUGCAAGCGUUGCUCGGAUUUACUGGGCGUAAAGCGUACGCAGACGGUGCCAAAGGUCGGAUGUGAAAGCCCCGGGCUCAACCUGGGAACUGCAUCCGAAACCGUGGCGCUCGAGUAUGGGAGAGGGAAGCGGAAUUCCUGGUGUAGAGGUGAAAUUCGUAGAUAUCAGGAGGAACAUCUGUGGCGAAGGCGGCUUCCUGGCCCCAUUACUGACGUUCAGGUACGAAAGCGUGGGUAGCAAACAGGAUUAGAUACCCUGGUAGUCCACGCCGUAAACGAUGUGUGCUGGGUGUCGGGGGUAUUCACCCCCUCGGUAUCGAAGCUAACGCGAUAAGCACACCGCCUGGGGAGUACGGCCGCAAGGUUGAAACUCAAAGGAAUUGACGGGGGCCCGCACAAGCGGUGGAGUAUGUGGUUUAAUUCGACGCAACGCGAAGAACCUUACCCAGCCUUGACAUCCUGGAACCCUGCUGGAAACAGCGGGGUGCCUUCGCAAGAAGGAGCCGGGAGACAGGUG